rnacentral:lncRNA from 1 species
AGACAAGGAGACUACAUAUCACCUUUUUAAAACAGCAAAGUAACAAAUUAUUUUCUAAUCUGAAACAUUUCUAGAAUAAGCAGGGGAAGAAGAAAAAGAGGAGGGGAAGGAGAAGAGGGAGGAGGGCAAGGAGAAUGGAGGGAGGGGAGGAGGUAUCAAAGUGUUCAUACUGCCUUCCUUUAUUGAAGCAGUUUCUGGUUGUACCUCAUGAGUGUGGCUACAGCUUUAAGACAAAACCUUCUGUGUUUGUCCACCAAAAAAGUACAAAAUGAAGGGUCCGGAUAGUCCACAAGCAGACCCCUUCAACAGUUUACCACCGUAAUUCCCCCACCAUUAAUAUCAGGAUUGAAAAUUAGGCCUAACUCAAAGAAGGCUGACACUCUUGGUUUUGUUCCACCCUUCACCAUCUGUAUUUAUGCAGAAUAAAGUCCAAUAUCUCGAUGAACCCUCAGAACUUUCUUUCCGCACUGGUCUGUGUCUCUCUGAGCAGCUUUAGCCACCUGCACUCCCUUACACAGCCCGUUUCAGCCUGUCAGAAGAUUCCCUGUUCUAGGCACAUUCCAGACCCUCUUCACUUGAAACAUCUCCCCCGCCGCCCCCCACCGCGUUCACUCUGUCAAUCAAACCCCAGUCAUCUUUCCAAACUCAGCGGAGACUCCCACUCCCCUCUGUAUAGGAGAUUUCCCUGAACUCUGCAUCUUGAAGGGUGCUAUCUCU